rnacentral:tRNA from 1 species
GCUUGGGUGGCUCAGAUGGUUAAGCGUCUGACUUCAGCUCAGGUCAUGAUCUCACGGUUCGUGGGUUCAAGCCCCACAUCGGACU